GGUUAAGCGACUAAGCGUACACGGUGGAUGCCCUGGCAGUCAGAGGCGAUGAAGGACGUGCUAAUCUGCGAUAAGCGUCGGUGAGGUGAUAUGAACCGUUAUAACCGGCGAUUUCCGAAUGGGGAAACCCAGUGUGUUUCGACACACUAUCAUUAACUGAAUCCAUAGGUUAAUGAGGCGAACCGGGGGAACUGAAACAUCUAAGUACCCCGAGGAAAAGAAAUCAACCGAGAUUCCCCCAGUAGCGGCGAGCGAACGGGGAGCAGCCCAGAGCCUGAAUCAGUGUGUGUGUUAGUGGAAGCGUCUGGAAAGGCGCGCGAUACAGGGUGACAGCCCCGUACACAAAAAUGCACAU
rnacentral:rRNA from 1 species